rnacentral:rRNA from 1 species
AUUGAACGCUGGCGGCAGGCCUAACACAUGCAAGUCGAGCGGAUGAAGGGAGCUUGCUCCUGGAUUCAGCGGCGGACGGGUGAGUAAUGCCUAGGAAUCUGCCUGUUUGUGGGGUAUAACGUCCGGAAACGGGCGCUAAUACCGCAUACGUCCUGAGGGAGAAAGUGGGGGAUCUUCGGACCUCACGCUAUCAGAUGAGCCUAGGUCGGAUUAGCUAGUUGGUGGGGUAAAGGCCUACCAAGGCGACGAUCCGUAACUGGUCUGAGAGGAUGAUCAGUCACACUGGAACUGAGACACGGUCCAGACUCCUACGGGAGGCAGCAGUGGGGAAUAUUGGACAAUGGGCGAAAGCCUGAUCCAGCCAUGCCGCGUGUGUGAAGAAGGUCUUCGGAUUGUAAAGCCCUUUAAGUUGGGAGGAAGAGCAGUAAGUUAAUACCUUGCUGUUUUGACGGUACCAAAAGAAUAAGCACCGGCUAACUUCGUG